GCACAACUUAACAUUAAAUUGAAGAACAAAGUUCAUCUGGAUAGUUGAAUUACUUCACUCCACCUAAUGAGCAAAUACAACAAUACAACUAUAGGUGCAUAUUCCUCUCAAAGAUGCAUUCAUUGAAUAGAAAAAUCUCAGAGAAUUUAAAUAUUAGAAGCACUAAGUGCCAUAACCUUGCAUUGUUCAUUCAUGGCUAAGAGUUGUGCUUCUUUCUUGUCAAGAAGAGUUGUCAACUUCACAUUUUCUUCUAUAAGCUUUUGGACUUGAACUUCUUUCUGCAUUUUCUCACUCUCCAAUUGAGUUGUCUUUGCAGCUAACCGUUCAAAAAGCUUUUCAAUUGUCUGGAAUUGUUUUUCUGAUGACAGAAGAGUUUCUCUGACACUAAUGAGACCACUGACAUAGGAUUUCAGAGAUUCGAAGUCUCUCUUAACACAACAAAGCUCCUGCUCAUUUUCUGCAGCUCGCUGUCUCUGUCUAGAAGUUUCUUCGACCAAAUCUUCAACUCUCUGGCGCAUCUCAUUCAAGAUACAAUUUGUACCAAAAGCAAACCUUUCCAUCUCUUCUAACUUAGUAGACAUGUUUUCAAUCUGAAGUGCUCUUCUUUGAAUCUCUUCCUGACCUAUUGUUACCUUCUCCUUUUCUAAAGCAGUUUCAGAUUCAGCCAUUAUAACCCUCUUGACAAGAUUUUCCAUAACAUAUGUAACCAAUUGUGCACUUCUGAGUAAUUCGCUCCUAUAAGAUCCAUCUUGUUCAUCAAAAGAAUCUUGUGUACUUGUAAGUCUAAUCAAUGCUGCAUCAUCAGCAUCAUCAAAAGACGAGAGAUCUAUGUCCCUUGACCAACUGGACAAUGGUACACCAUUUUUAUCUAUAAGCCCUACUCCAUAUAGUUCUUUUAUACCGCAUGACGUAGAGGCCAAAUCAGGAACAGACAUGACUCUGGCUUUAGUUUUCAAAUACAUCAUUAAUGUUGCAGCAGUUCUGACUCUGCUCCAAAGAACAUUUAACUCUUUCUUCGUAUCUUCUUCUGACCCCUGAAUACAAGUUUUUACGUCUAAUAGUUUUGCUUGCAAAGCAUCAACUUGGGACUGGCUUUCCUCCAUCUCUUGCUUCCAACUAACAUGUGUUUGGCUCAGUUGGUACUUCAAAUCUGAAAGAUCAAUAUCUUCCUCAACUGCCAUUACCUUGUAAAAUUUAAUGAAAAAAAAUUGAAAAUUGGGAGCUUCAGAUGGGCAAUGGAUGAAGAAGAGAAAUUAGGACAGGGUAAAAAAUGACUAUGAUGACAACACU
rnacentral:misc_RNA from 1 species